rnacentral:rRNA from 1 species
CACGUAAGGGACGAGCGUUGUUCGGAUUCAUUGGGCGUAAAGGGUGCGUAGGCGGCGCGGUAAGUCGGGUGUGAAAUUUCGAGGCUUAACUUCGAAACUGCAUUCGAUACUGCCGUGCUUGAGGACUGGAGAGGAGACUGGAAUUUACGGUGUAGCAGUGAAAUGCGUAGAGAUCGUAAGGAAGACCAGUGGCGAAGGCGGGUCUCUGGACAGUUCCUGACACUGAGGCACGAAGGCCAGGGGAGCAAACGGG